rnacentral:rRNA from 1 species
UUCGUGUGUACAAGAUUGAUUUAAAAUUGUUUUUAAUGGUUUAAUGUACCUUUUGUAUCAUGAUUUUUUGAGUGUAAUUACAGUAUUGUAUGUCCCGAAAGAUUUACGAUUUUGUUUAGUCUAAUCAACUAGCUGAAUUUUUUGGUUAGAGGGGUUACAGGUUAUUAAGUAGAUUUCUAAAGAGACUAAAUAAGUAGUGAUAAAUUACCCGUGUAAUCUUAUAUCUGGUUGGUAACUUGUUUAUCGAGUUGUGUGGAAAGUUGAUUGUGUUGAUUUUCUAAAGCAGAGAUUUAAUUUUUGUUAUGGGUAGUCUUAGAUUAAGAUUGUCUUUGGAUUAGGAAGUUAUUUACAUAGCUUUGUUCACUACUAUGGUAAUAUCUUGCUUGAUUUGGUAGUUACCUUUAUAAUUGGUUGUAUAAUGAUGAAGGAAUUAGUAGGUUUAUGGUUGAAAUAGUUGUCUUUUUUUUCGGUGAUGCUUUCGACUGUUUAUUAAAAACAUUUCUAUCUGAUGAGGUUUAGAUAGUAUGACCUGCCCAAUGAAAGUAAACAUGAAUGGCCGCAGCUUUAGCUGUGCUAAGGUAGCAUAAUAUAUAGUUUUUUGAUUGGAGACUUGUGAAUGGUUGAACGAAAGGUGUCUAAAAUGAUAAUUAUAUCUGAAUUUAGUUUAGUGGUGAGGAACCCAUUUUUUAGAUAUAGGACGGAAAGACCCCAAGAGUUUUACUAUUUGUUUAGUUUUAUUUGGGGUAAAUGUGCGUAAUUCAUUAUUUAUUUUAUGAUCCUAUUGGAUAGAGGAUAAAAUUACCUUGGGGAUAACUGAGUAAAGGGCAGUAAGAGAUCAUAUUGAGCUGUUUGUUACUACCUCGAUGUUGGCUUGUUGUACCUAUUUGGUGUAGAGGCUAAAUUUAGGAAGUCUGUUCGACUAUUAAUUCUUCAUGAGCUGAGUUAAGACCGGUGUAAGCCAGGUUGGUUCUUAUCUAUAUUUGAUUCUGGCUAGUACGAAAGGAGGGUUGGGGUAUACUGUAGUAUAAUUUCAGAUCUUUUAGGUUUGAUAAUGAAAA